rnacentral:tRNA from 1 species
CAAGAAGUAGUUUAAUUAGAAUAUCAGCUUUGGGAGUUGAUGGUAGGAAGAUUUCCUUCUUCUUGA